rnacentral:rRNA from 1 species
GAUGAACGCUGGCGGCGUGCCUAAUACAUGCAAGUCGAGCGAACAGAUAAGGAGCUUGCUCCUUUGACGUUAGCGGCGGACGGGUGAGUAACACGUGGGUAACCUACCUAUAAGACUGGGAUAACUUCGGGAAACCGGAGCUAAUACCGGAUAAUAUUUCGAACCGCAUGGUUCGAUAGUGAAAGAUGGUUUUGCUAUCACUUAUAGAUGGACCCGCGCCGUAUUAGCUAGUUGGUAAGGUAACGGCUUACCAAGGCGACGAUACGUAGCCGACCUGAGAGGGUGAUCGGCCACACUGGAACUGAGGCACGGUCCAGACUCCUACGGGAGGCAGCAGUAGGGAAUCUUCCGCAAUGGGCGAAAGCCUGACGGAGCAACGCCGCGUGAGUGAUGAAGGUCUUCGGAUCGUAAAACUCUGUUAUUAGGGAAGAACAUACGUGUAAGUAACUGUGCACGUCUUGACGGUACCUAAUCAGAAAGCCACGGCUAACUACGUG